GGGAUGAGGACCCUGAAUUGGAGAACAUUAAGAAUGGAGAGUACCUGGGUGGGAAUGAGAGGCUCUGAGACUGUGAACAUGCAUGUCAGAAGAUGCUGUAAGGGAGAAAUGCUACCUUUUCAUCUCCUCUAAUCCCAGCAGUUUGGGAAGCUGAGACAGGGAAAAUGGCAUGUGAAGAUGAAGGGAAGGGCCCAGGUAAUGUGUCUACAAGCCAAGGAACACCAA